GCCCCCAUGGUCUAGAGGCCUAGGACAUUUCCCUUUCACGGAAGUAACACGAGUUCGAAUCUCGUUGGGGGUA
rnacentral:tRNA from 1 species